rnacentral:rRNA from 1 species
UGGGGAAUAUUGCGCAAUGGGGGGAACCCUGACGCAGCCAUGCCGCGUGAAUGAAGAAGGCCUUCGGGUUGUAAAGUUCUUUCGGUAUUGAGGAAGGUUGAUGUGUUAAUAGCACAUCAAAUUGACGUUAAAUACAGAAGAAGCACCGGCUAACUCCGUGCCAGCAGCCGCGGUAAUACGGAGGGUGCGAGCGUUAAUCGGAAUAACUGGGCGUAAAGGGCACGCAGGCGGUUAUUUAAGUGAGGUGUGAAAGCCCUGGGCUUAACCUAGGAAUUGCAUUUCAGACUGGGUAACUAGAGUACUUUAGGGAGGGGUAGAAUUCCACGUGUAGCGGUGAAAUGCGUAGAGAUGUGGAGGAAUACCGAAGGCGAAGGCAGCCCCUUGGGAAUGUACUGACGCUCAUGUGCGAAAGCGUGGGGAGCAGACAGGAUUAGAUACCCUGGUAGUCCACGCUGUAAACGCUGUCGAUUUGGGGGUUGGGGUUUAACUCUGGCGCCCGUAGCUAACGUGAUAAAUCGACCGCCUGGGGAGUACGGCCGCAAGGUUA